rnacentral:rRNA from 1 species
UACGUAGGGUGCAGGCGUUAAUCGGAAUUACUGGGCGUAAAGCGUGCGCAGGCGGUUUCUUAAGUCCGAUGUGAAAGCCCCGGGCUUAACCUGGGAACUGCGUUUGAAACUGGGAGACUUGAGUGUGGCAGAGGGGGGUGGAAUUCCACGUGUAGCAGUGAAAUGCGUAGAUAUGUGGAGGAACACCGAUGGCGAAGGCAGCCCCCUGGGUUAACACUGACGCUCAUGCACGAAAGCGAGGGGAGCAAACAGG